rnacentral:rRNA from 1 species
CCUACGGGAGGCAGCAGUGAGGAAUAUUGGGCAAUGGAGGCAACUCUGACCCAGCCAUGCCGCGUGAGUGAAGAAGGUUUUCGGAUUGUAAAGUUCUUUCGGCUGUGACGAUGAUGAUGGUAGCAUCUACAGAAGCACCGGCUAACUUCGUACCAGCAGCGCCGGAAUACGAAGGGGGCAAGCGUUGUUCGGAAUUACUGGGCGUAAAGGGAGUGUAGGCGGUUUAGUAGGAUAGUGGUGAAAUCCCAGAGCUUAACUUUGGAAUUGACAUUAUAACUAUUAGACUAGAAUUACAGAGAGGAUAGUGGAAUACCCGGUGUAGAGGUGAAAUUCGUAGAUAUUGGGUAGAACACCAGUGGCGAAGGCGACUAUCUGGCUGUACAUUGACGCUGAGGCUCGAAAGCAUGGGGAUCAAACAGGAUUAGAUACCCUGGUAGUC